UGCCGGUCCCCUCGCAAUGAUUCGCCGUGAACCCCGCCAGGCCCGGAAGGGAGCAACGGUAGCGGUAAAGUCAUGUGCCGGGGUGUGGCUGGUGGGG
rnacentral:SRP_RNA from 1 species